GUUUGAAUGUCUCAAAGCAUGACCAGGGGGAAGGGCCCAAUGCACGAACAAGGGAGAACAGGGGAGGAGGAUGAAGAAUCUUGUCAUACUCACGAGCACAGCAACGAUGCAAAGCCGAUGGACGUCUCUCGGAAACACACAUAAAGUGACGAUGAGGAAAGGAGCUUGGUACACUAAACCAUAUCAGCUUAGACAGGAGAUCAUAGUUUCUGAUGGAAAGAAUCAAAAAGGAAGAAGAACAAACUGUGGCACACACAUAAACAGCGAACAAAGAUGACCAGGGGAGAAAACUCACAGUGGAACUUCACACUAGUGAGGGAAACAGAGCCAUCACACCUGUCGAUGACAGCGAGAUGACUGGCAGACGGACAGCAACCAACACAGACGCACGUGCAGGGGUCGAAUUGAACAAAGGCAGAGCAAGAAAGAGGAAUAGCUCUCAACAAUGGCAACGAACGGCGCACUCUAACACACCCACACCGACGAUGCUGAAGAUUGAAGGGAAAGGGUGGAGAAUGUCGGUGGGAUUCAAGAAGAGCUGAGGGUGAAGGUUCACAAAUCUUUGAUCUGUCAUACUCUCUUAGCUCAUGUAAAACAUGAAAUCAGACGGGAGAGAAACAAAUAAAUCUAUUUCUAGAAGGUUCAACGAAGUUCAAAUGGCGGUAAGGACACGUGCUCUGUUUUCCUAAUUGAAGAACUUUUGGGAAAAUUUUCAAUAAAGAGCAUAAAAAAAUCACAAAAAAGGACACAAAAUUUUUUAUAAUUUAAAA